GCCAAUGAUGACUGUUAAAGGUUGAAUCUGAAAUGCUAGUUAUAGUAUUUGCUACGAUACUGUUGAUAUUGUUUUGUACUAGGACGGUCUGAGGC